AUGAUAGUAAAAUGAAGGCUUUGGUGAUAAACAGAUCAGGGUAGCGUGUCUCUUUCAAAACUCUAGUAAAAAUAUUAAAUUCUCUUCAUCUGUCUGUGCUUUCACCCCUGAACUGUUCUGUCUCCUAACUACUUAAUGUUACUGGGAGGGUAAAAAACAAAGGAAACACGGUGUGUUCUCUUUUCUGCUGUGCCCAUUGUUUGCUUCUAAAAUAAAAUGGUAAGAAAAUAUCGGGGGGAGGGGUUCUUUCUCCACAGUGGUUAAUGACUCACUAGCAAACCUUCCACUGCCACCACCUCUCUUUAUGUGAAGAGAUAAUGUCACGAAGAUAAUAGCCUUUUUUCUGUGUCCCUUCUCCAAGAAAUGAGGUUCGUAGCCAGGUUUAUGUCCUUUCUGAUUGAUCUGAAGAGGAGGUAGGAGAACUCGAAUGUUCAUUUCCCCUCCUGUCGGGGCAUUUAUGGGAAUGAGAGGUUAACCAGUCCUGUUGCCCGAGAGAAGUCCUUUUGUGGUGGUAAACACUUGAUUUUAGGGUGUGACUGAGGGAGCAGAAGGCUACCUAGAUAAUCUUUGGAAAGGAAAAUAUAUAGCUCAUUCUUUAAAAAUGGAUCCUAUAUUGGGGGACCCGAAAGGAAGGUCAGAUUUUGAAGAAUGUAUCUUAGUGACCCACGCAACACCUAGUUCACUAGUUCUCCCCAUAAUUGCUCAGCUGUGGUUAUUUUCACUGAUAAAAAUAGCAAUUUGGGGGCAUUAGGGUAGUAGAAGGCUUUUUUUAAAAUAUUCAUUCUUCAAAAAUUAAAAAUUCAAACAUACGAGUUGCCCAAAGCCAUUGAAGAUAGUUUAGGUGUCUAAGAGAACAGCACUAGAUCUGCUGAAAUACACUAUUUCUAAAGGAAAAUGUUAAGUCGCAGGGAACAUCUGCAUCCUGGUAAUUCAUUCUCAUAUAUGGUAGAUGUGCAUGAAGGUGAAUUAUUUAAAUGUGUAUGGACCCGUUACAAAGACACCCUCCCCCCCAACUUCUAGAACGUACUUAACUAUUUGCUCCUACCUCACGGGAAGUGAAAUUUAUGUUCAGGUAAUGACAGGGCUCUAUAGUUGGGCUGCAGUUGAGUAGGAAAGCAAUACACCAGAAAACAGCUUCAACUUGGAUCCCCAGCUUUCCUUUAUUUUUAUCACAGAGUCUUAGAAACCUGUGUUCACUGCUUUUAACACUAGUUGACCAAGAAUGGUCUUCACAAAUCAAAUUUCACAUAAUGUUUCUAGUUGUUUUUGUACAUUGAUUGAAGUUACUCACUAAAUCAGAUACUGUUUUGAACUCGUGUGCUAGGCACGGUGCUGAAAUUCUGGAUGAGCAAGGGCAAAGACAGGCAGUCUAGGAAACGGUAAAAGGUCUUCCUAGAGCAGUACCCAUUCAGCACGUGUCUAGUUCUGAGCUCGAGGAGUAACUUAUGCUGUGUUGUUUCCCAAGACAAGAUUUUAAGAAAUGAGCUAUGAAAUAGAAGCACUUGAGGUGCUGGGCAAAACAUGAAGGAAGAAAAGAAAGUGAGCCAGGUUAAUAAAAUUUACCUUUUUUGAGACCUAUCAUUAGAAGGUCUAGAGUUGAUAGAAAUUUCAAGAAAUCGAAAUGGAGAAAAUGAGGCUGAAAGCAAACCUUUUCAAUUAAUUCCAUUCAGUGCCCAGUAAAGAUGCUACUACAUCUUAGCUUCGACUAACCCUUUCAAAUGACAGUUUGGUAAAUAACAGCUCUCCUAUCAGGCCCAAAAUAAGCUAAAGGGAACUUAAACAAAAACCACUUUGAUUAUAGAGUAGUGAGGAAGAAAUGUGGUUAUUUAAAAUUGUUGAGAGGAGUUCGUGUCAUGGCUCAGUGGUUAACGAACCCAACUAGUAUCCAUGAGUACGUGGGUUCAUUCCCUGGCCUCGCUCAGUGGGUUAAGGAUCUGGCGUUGCCAUGAGCUGUGGUGUAGGUCACAGAUGCAGCUCAGAUCCUGCAUGGCUGUGGCUGUGGUGUAGGCCGGCAGCUGUAGCUCCAAUUCAACCCCUAGCCUAGGAACCUCCGUAUGCCGAGGGUGCGGCCCUAAAAAGACAUAAAUAAACAAAAUUGUUAAAAGAGAUUUCAUUCCCUGUUUUUUUGUUGUUGUUUUUUGUUUGUAGAAUUUGCUUUUUUUUUUUUCUCUCCCUAUUUCUGAGUCACAGAACUUGAAUUAAAAGAGGCCUCACCAGGACACUAGCUCUUAUAAAGUGACUUAAAUCCUAAUUCUUUUAGGACUUUCUGGAAGGUUUUAAAAGAAUAAAUUAUAUUUUGUCACUGCUUAUUGAAAUUGCCGUACCAGGAUUAUUGGGCUUUCAACUUGAAUUCUAUAUUGCAAAAUAUGCGUGUUUGCUUUUGGGUCAAAAAGGUUUUAGGUGUAUUCCAUCUCGUAAUAUAGUCUGUCCAGGAAGUAGAAGAGUAGAAUCCUGUAUUUUCCUUAUACUUAGCAAUCUUAAACAGGAGAUUAGGUUUCUUACAUCAGGACUGCGUAAGGAAUCUCUGUACCUCUGUGUAGCUUGCUUUCUUAACAUGAAAAGGGAAUCCCUACAAAAUGUCCUUAUGACAGGAAGGACAGGCUAAACCUGGAAGCAAGAGGUCACCACCUCUCUGUGGAGAUGGUCUCUGACUCGAUAGCAGCCUAUCCCGAAGAAUAACUGCAAACUCAGCUUCCCUGGUUCUUAAAGCUCAAUCUAAAGGGAAUUUUUAAAAUCCUGAUUUUCAUCUGGACUGCAAAACCUAGUGAAUGCCCAGGGGAGAAGAAAAGUAAAUCCAACAUUGGAUUAAGAUUUAAGUAAACUUGGAAUUGUGCUUUUACUGAAAUUUUUUUUUAAGAUUUGGCGUUCCUGUAACAUGAAUUGCCAUGAGUGGAACAUGGAAUUUGAUUUGAGGCAUUUUGUGCACUAAGUAAUGGUUUUCUGUUGAAAUCUCUAGUGGCAGCUUCUGCCACUGAUCAGGAUUUAGGGCUGUGCACUCGUGUUUUAAGUGAUGCAGACACUGGCUCAUAAAUACCACAUUAAACCAACCUGACUCACAUGCUUCAUUUUAUUAAUUUUAAUCAUGGAUCUUCUUUUAAAGUACUUAAUAUCUAAAUUUCAGAUUAGCCUAAUCAGAAAGCAGUGCAUUAAAUGUUAUCAAAAUAUCUGAAGAUACUUUAGAACUGUUUUACACAUGGUCUGUAUCCUUCCUAUGGAAAGUGUGAUAACAUAAAAUUUUAUAUUUCUUGGAUCAGUUCUUCUCAAAAGCCAGUGUCUAAUGUUUUCAGAUACCUAGAGCUUGGAAAUGAUGGAGUUGAAGUUCAAGCACAAGUCAGUAGUUCUGUUCAUUUUAGGUUUUCAGGCACAGCAAUUUGAAGACUUCAGUAGUGACCCCAUUUGAACCUAUAUAUAUAUAUAUAUAAUCAUUUUAAUGAAACUUUCAGAUUCUCAAAUUUGGUCUCCUGUUUGUUGCAUAAGGAGAUAAAUUCUGGGCUGGGAAGGACCUGCUAGUUCUCUGAUAAUAAACUGAUUGAAGAACAAUUUGUUCUUACAGAUUUCAUGAAAUUUCUAAAACUCAUUAAAGAUCUAGAGUACAUGACAAAUGAAACUAUAGAAAUUAAACUUUUCCUUUAGCUGUAAGUGCUAUGACCUUUUUUUUUUUUUUUAACCCCCUCUUGAUUCUGCAGCUCAUUGCAUCACACCUUAAGACUCUCACCAGCACCAAGAGAAAUCAGAAUGGAAAAAAUGACCUUAUGUUGGUCUUACUCACUUUAAAAUCUUUGUGCACAUAGGCCUUAGCACUUUGACAGAUAAAGCUCUGCCUUUUAGCUCCUUCUCUUGUCUUUAUUCCUCCCACUUUUAGACUGUUCCUUUGAUGGUCAUAUAAAACUACCUUCAGAAUUGAAUGUAUAGUAAUGUUUCUGCACAUGGACAAACUGUAUUUUAAUGACUCGUGUUGAAUAA
rnacentral:lncRNA from 1 species